rnacentral:rRNA from 1 species
CCUACGGGGGGCUGCAGUAAGGAAUAUUGGUCAAUGGAGGAAACUCUGAACCAGCCAUCCCGCGUGAAGGAUGAAGGGGCUCUGCCUUGUAAACUUCUUUUGUCUGGGGCGAAACAGCUCGAUUUAUCGAGAACUGACGGUACCAGAAGAAUAAGCACCGGCUAACUCCGUGCCAGCAGCCGCGGUAAUACGGAGGGUGCAAGCGUCAUCCGGAAUCACGGGUGUGUAAGGGUGUUAGGACGGCUUUGGAGACAGGCUGUGGCUUAACCAUGGAAUUGCCAUUGAGACUGCAGAGCUUGAAUGAGGUUGAGGUUGGCGGAAUGUGACAUGUAGCGGUGAAAUGCUUAGAUAUGUCAUGGAACACCGAUUGCGAAGGCAGCUGACUGGACCUAUAUUGACGCUGAGGCACGAAAGCGUGGGGAGCGAACAGGAUUAGAUACCCCGGUAGUC